CCAGCAGCCGCGGUAAUUCCAGCUCCAAUAGCGUAUAUUAAAGUUGUUGCAGUUAAAAAGCUCGUAGUUGGAUUUGUGGUUCGUCCCGCCGGCUGGGUCUUUGACCUUGGCUGCGCUGGUCGUCCAUCCUUGGGUGGAAUCUGUGUGGCAUUAGGUUGUCGCGCAGGGGAUGCCCAUCGUUUACUGUGAAAAAAUUAGAGUGUUCAAAGCAGGCUUAUGCCGUUGAAUAUAUUAGCAUGGAAUAAUGAUAUAGGACCUUGGUACUAUUUUGUUGGUUUGCGCACUGAGGUAAUGAUUAAUAGGGACAGUUGGGGGUAUUCGUAUUCCAUUGUAAGAGGUGAAAUUCUUGGAUUUUUGGAAGACGAACUACUGCGAAAGCAUUUACCAAGGAUGUUUUCAUUAAUCAAGAACGAAAGU
rnacentral:rRNA from 1 species